GAUCGGGAAAGGAUUUAAGUUGAAACUCAUGUAUAUUUGUUGUUUUGGCACUGCCUUAUUGAUCUUUUUAUUAUUAUUUAUUAUGUUUUCUUUUUAAAAAGUUUUAUCGACAUGACUCGAACUCAACGCGCUAACCAUCUGUUCCUUAAUUUCUUCUACCCCGAUCCCUUGUUCCUUAAUUUCUUCUACCCCGAUCUCUUUUUAACUAUCUCUAUGUUUCUUGUGUUUCUGAUUCACCGGAUGAUCCAUUAAGCUUACAACAUCCUCUAUUUAUACAAACUUUUAGAAGUUCCACAUUUCGUACGAAUGUCCCAUUUUCCUAUUUCACCUACAAAAUUAACUGACUGAUCUUUGUGCAAGCAUAUUGAAGUUAAGCUUUGAAGUGAGAUGUUGCAAAACAAAGUUAAAAUUGAGGCCCAUUAAUAAUCUCCACCUGGUCCAAUUUUAACCUUCUCUUAUUUUCUCCGUCACCAAAAAUCAAACAAAAGCCCCCUUUUGUCUUCUUCUCCACACCGAAAAACUUCAUCUUCGUUAACCUCAAAGUUUAUCCUUGCACCGAAUCCCCUUGCCGCUGCUUUGUCUGAAAAGAACCCCAAAGCUUCUCGACUCCAAUAAACUCUUGUUUGUUUCCGUUGUGAUGACAAUCUCAUCGACUCCGUCGAGAUUACGUUGUCGUGUCUUUAGAGCCCCGAUUUACUGGAUGGUAAAAAAUAACUCGAUUCCAUGCGCCUCCAGUCGCCAUAUUGUCAGCUUGAGAGCUAUUUACGACUCUCACUCAUACCUCCCUCCUUACCCGA
rnacentral:lncRNA from 1 species